UGUUCACAAAUUUUGCACUAGUGGCCGUGUGGGGUCCACUAGCACAUAACAAAUCUGAUUUUUAUCCCAUGCUUGAGUUGGGGGACGUGUAAGACCCCCCCUUGGGCAGCAAAAUGUUCAACUUUGUUGACCAAAAGUUGCAUGCCAACUCAUUUUCCCAAUGCCACAAAUUGAACAAGAGAGAGAAGCUCUCAUCUUCACCAACUAGUGAGAGAGAGAGCCACGGUUUCCAUGGCAGAUCCACCACCAAAAACGGCCAGCUCUUCCAUUUCCUUCUCACCAAUAAGUCCCUAAAGUGUUCUACAUCAUUUCAACAUUUGCAAAGUUAAGAAACUUAGAGUUAGAAAGAGAGGCUCUCGGCUAGAGCUAGCCGAGAAUGGUGAGGUGAUGUUGAUCCCAAAAAUCAGUUUUCUUCCUCAAAUCAACUCCUCAUUUGGUGUACAAGAAUAUGUAGUAGUUGUUGAAACGAAACAAAGAAGUGUAGCACCUCAAUAGUAUUGAAGAUUCGGCCAAAGUGAAGAACAAGAUUGUAAGGAUAAGUGUUUUUGGGAAGCAAGUACAAGUUAUAAUACGACUAAACGCAAAAGGUACAGAUGCACAGUUCGGUAAUCCACCAGUUUAGGAUACCCUCUUCUGCAGUUUGGAGUGCUCCUCUUAUUCCGGAGCCUACAUGUUGGUAUAUAUUCAUUCGUUGCAUAUGUAUAUAUUUGUUCAGGG